GUGCCAGCAGCCGCGGUAAUACGUAGGGGGCAAGCGUUAUCCGGAAUUACUGGGUGUAAAGGGUGCGUAGGCGGCAAUGUAAGUCAGGUGUGAAAGCCCAAAGCUCAACUUUGGGACUGCACUUGAAACUAUGUAGCUAGAGUACAGGAGAGGAAAGUGGAAUUCCUAGUGUAGCGGUGAAAUGCGUAGAUAUUAGGAGGAACACCAGUGGCGAAGGCGACUUUCUGGACUGUAACUGACGCUGAGGCAC
rnacentral:rRNA from 1 species